GCCCUGGUGGCACAAUGGUUAGGAGCUCGGCUGCCAACCGAAAGGUUGGUGGUUCCAACCCACUCAGUGGCU
rnacentral:tRNA from 1 species